rnacentral:lncRNA from 1 species
GGCCAGGGCAGGAUUAACGAAGGGAAAGUCUUGCUCUCAGUAUUUUAGCUGUAACCUUGGUAAAGAAAGCCAAAAGGGGCUUUCACACAGCACCUUACAAGCCUGUGUUAUCCUUGGGGCUUCUGCAGCCAAUGAAAGUUUGUCACGAUGAUGUAAUGCUCCUGAGUUGUGCUUCAGCCCGAGUAUGUGGUCACCGGGUCUCAUGCCUGAGAGCUAGAGAUAAUCUGGAAGUAUCACAGCACUCCUACAGCUGGGAAUAGAGAAUAAUCAGUCCAAUUAGAUGUCUUCAGCCAUUGUACAGGUCAAGGGAAGGAUGAUUGGAAGUCAGAGAAUGAGAAGAUGCCCAAGAAAACUCCAAGACCACCAGGAAGCAUC